rnacentral:lncRNA from 1 species
UCUUUCCUUCCUCUUGAUUGUCCUAAUCUAGCUCCAUAAGACCCACCUCGCUCUUGAGAGACCCCUUUGGUCUCGUAAGAAAGAUGUGAAUCCAUCAUGAGGGUGGAGUCCCAGGACCUAAUUAUUUCCUGGGGGCCCCCACCUCUCAGCACUGUCACAUAGGGGUCACAUUUCAGCCCAACCAUGAGGACAAAGUCCAUUGAAAGCACAGCGACGCCAUACUCACGUGUGUCGUUAUGACCCGUGAUUUUCCCAAAGAGGCAAAGCUUUUGGCAGUUAGUGUCUGUGGGGAUCUUUCUGUCCCCCAACUUAGUCUGACCAUCAUUUCCCUUGGCCCCACCCACUGUGAGCACAGUCACCCCCUCCCCCCAGAGACCCCAACAGCUCUCCGAGAGGGCAGGAGCACAGGCGCCACCCCCACCGAUGAGGCACGGAGUCCCAGGGGGUACAAGAGGGAACUGUCGGUCCCCGGGUGCCUACGAUCUUUGUCACAUGAUCCGGAGGAGGAGGAGGAGCUGUUUCUCAGACAAGGGGAUGCAGGGCCUGAGAACCCGACCACGCAGGGAAUCAGGUCCUGGCACGGCUGGCUGACUGCUCCUUCUGAACCUGCGUGCGCAGCUCUGGCUGCCUUUGCAGGAGGAAGUCCCCUAAUCCUGGGCCGUGGCCUCCAGCAUCUCCCUGUUUGGGGACAUCAUGCAGCCACUGACAGCCAAAUGCUUUGCCUCUUCGGGAAAACCACGAGGAGUAACAACACAUUUUUCCUUGGAGCCCAAGAAAAGCAAAUCACAGCCAGGGAGAGAGGGAGAAGAGGGAGAAAAGACCCUAACACACUCCAAGCAAAAAGGCUUUGCAAAGUGGACUUCCUGCUGUAAGUGACGAGGACAAACCACACGUUCCAAAGUGAGAAAGAAAUGAGCCGUCCAUUCCUGGCCAUUCUGUACCACGGCACUGCGGUCCCCUGCCCAGACAGGGGUCAAAGCCUGGUGGUCUCACCCUGCAGCCAUCCAGCUGCCCUUCUGCCCAAGGCCACAGUUUCAGAGACAGGCGUCUGAGGAGGCAGCACCGGGGUGGGGCAUUUCUGAGGCCCGAGGCUGAGUCCAGCCUCCUGCAACUGGACUGUGAGCCUCAGAGGUAGCCACUCUGCGGUAGCUCCAUGUUCAGAGUGUUUACUGAGAACUCAUUAAGCAGAAUUGAUUCCAUGCACCUGCCUCCUGUCUCGGGACUCCAAGCAGGUGAGGGCAAGGACUGCAUCUUGUCGCUAGAUUCCCACUGCGUGGCCUGGGGCAUCAAAGAUGCUCAGUAAAAUGUGUUGAGUGCAGGUAGGAAAGUCAGCUCUGCCCACCACCACCAUCACCACCAGACACCAACAAACACUCCGAGCCCUGUGCACAAGGCUGCAUUAGCUCACCUGCUGCUCACAACAACCCUAAGAGGCAGAUGGGACUGUGUCUCUUUCUGUUCAAGAGAGACAGCUGAGGCAGAGUGAUGCUUGCCAUGAGUUGAACAGGUAGCAGAUGGCAAACUGGGGUGUAAAGCGAGCGGACCUGCUCCAGAUGGCACAGCAGUCCCUGUUCUUUCCUUUCCCGUGUCCAUACCUUCUUCCCUCCAGAGCACAUCCCCCUGUUCACUUUGGGCUGGGUCAGCUCCCAGCCUGCAGCCCAGGACACCUUGUCUAUUGCUGUGUGCUCGUGUACGCUUCUGCUGUUGGUGGGAGAAGUGUUUGCCGACCCCAGCAUGAGGACCGACACUUUAGCAGCAGAGCUGGCCCAGCUGAGGUCAGACCACUUCCCCCUGAUGAGCCAUCUCAGUGAGGAUGGCAGGGUCAUUCAGUUGAGCUUAGCUUGAAGCUGAUCCUAGACAUGUGAACUAAAUGAUUGCUGUGUAUCAUUGAAAUUGCGAGGGGCUAUUUGUCACCCACCAUUAUUAUAGCAAUUGCUAACUGAUACAGCCUAACUCUUAAAUGAUGGACAAUCAGGGAACAGAAGGAACAGUUUCACAGACAUUAGAUAAAAACCGAAAGAGAAAAGAAGCUGGGGGUUAGUGGGGACUCAUGCUUUCUGAGAUAGUAACCCAAUCAUUUCCUGCUCAAGAUCUUUCUGUUCAUUGGGCCUGCACUUGCCCUCUCGGGGAGCAAUGUGGCUUAGCAAGCAGGUCCUAGCCUUGCCCAGUCUCAGCCAGGCACCACGCCUUAUAUCUGGCUGCUCUGCCUCAUCCAGGGAAUGGCAAGUGCAGGCACAGACAACCAGCCUCCCCCUGCCAAUUCCUGGCUCUGGGGCAACUCUGCAGCCACAGAGCCCUCACAGUGCAAGGGUCUCCUCACCCUAUUUUCUUUCUUUCUAAUCCCCAUGGCCAGGAGUUCUCCAUCACACCAGUUACUACCAGGUGAAAGGCAAAUAUAUUAUCAGCAAAUAUGUUAUCAGGAAGGGAUGACUUAUUAGGAUUUUAAUAGAUUAAAUUAAUUAAAAUUUUGUGGCAUUAAACCCAGGUUCUUUGUACUGAGCUACACUGCCAGCCUUUUUCAAAUUUUUCUUUCACAUUUCGAGACAGGAUCUUGUUAAAGCACUAAGUUACGCAGGUGGGGCUUGAACUUGCUGUCCUCCUGCCUCAGCUUUCCAGAGUGCUCGGCUUCUAAGUGCGCACCACCACACUCAGCAAGGAUUUUAUCUUUAAGGGCAGGGAGGGAUCAAAUAGUCUAUUGGCCUCCAAACCUUGUUUCUCUCACUGGCUCUGCAUUUUUUAUAUAAAGUAGACAUACUCCUAAGAGGCCAAUAGGGUUUGAGAAUCACCCUGUUGGGUUAAAGACCUUUGUUAGAGGAGCAAAUAAAGCAGAGAGAGAGGAGGGAGCUGUCUGAGGUCUCCAGCUUUUCUUCUUCCUGCCCUCU